UCAAAGGUUACAGCCAAAAGACAAAAAUUUUGCCUUGAUUUUCGAGGGCUGACCUCUCACCUCUUAAACAUAUUUGGUUGCCGAUAAAAAAGAAACACGUAUCGAGUAUUUUUUUAAACCCCUUUACAAACUCACCAAGUUACAUUAAAAUCAAAGAAGGAAUAUCUUUCCUGUGAGUUUCGGUUAUCGCCAAAGUUGUACUGUUGAUAUUUUUUUUCGUCACGCACGCUCGCAGUCUAGUCGGGCGUUUUGUUUGUCAACACGCGACUUUCUGGAGGCACGUCGAACGACGCCCGUGUGAUCUCGCUCGCGCAGUCGAAAAAAAGUCACUCGAGCCGACGAGCUUCAAGCUCGACUUCUUUUAAGAAAGCAGGCUCCUGCAAAUUCCCAGCGUACACAUAUCGCAGAACCCGGGAAUUUAUUCACGGGAAUCCUCCGCGGAGGGCUCGCGAGAAUUCACGGGCGACUGUGAAACAUGCGAAGGACGAUGCUCGUGUUUAUAGUCGCGAUCGGAAGACACGAGUGCGAGCACAGCAACAGCAGCAGCAUGAAUGCGACGUGAAUGAAAGGACAAUGUGUGGCACUCGCGACGUGAAUUUCAGCGGCUACCCCACAAUCACACGCGAGCAGCUCCUUGCUCUCUCCCUUCAAACUGUAUGUUCGCUUCUCAACGAAACACGUUCGAACAGGUCUGAGAUUGCGUCAAAUAACAAGCGAUUCGGGGUUUUUCCUAGAAGCAGCGUUCCAGGGUUCUUCUUAGAAGCAGCGUUUCGGGGCUCUUCCUAGAAGCAGCCCGGCUUUCUUUCCGGGAAUCGGAGUAU